rnacentral:rRNA from 1 species
UACGGGGGGGGUAAGCGUUGUUCGGAAUUACUGGGCGUAAAGGGCUCGUAGGCGGCCAACUAAGUCAGACGUGAAAUCCCUCGGCUUAACCGGGGAACUGCGUCUGAUACUGGAUGGCUUGAGUUUGGGAGAGGGAUGCGGAAUUCCAGGUGUAGCGGUGAAAUGCGUAGAUAUCGUGAGGAAGACCAGUGGCGAAGGCGGAUCUCUGGACAGUUCCUGACGCUGAGGCGCGAAGGCCAGGGGAGCAAACGGG